GACUCUCGACAACAGAUAUCUCGGCUCUUGCAUCGAUGAAAAAUAUAGCGAAAUACGAUACUUGGUGUGAUUUGUAGAAUCCCAUGAACCAUCGAAUCUUUGAACACAAGUUGCGCCCGAAGCCAUUAGGUCAAGGGCACGUCUGCCUGGGCAUCA
rnacentral:rRNA from 1 species